GUAGGUGGCAAGCGUUGUCCGGAAUUAUUGGGCGUAAAGCGCGCGCAGGCGGUUCUUUAAGUCUGAUGUGAAAGCCCACGGCUCAACCGUGGAGGGUCAUUGGAAACUGGAGAACUUGAGUACAGAAGAGGAAAGCGGAAUUCCACGUGUAGCGGUGAAAUGCGUAGAGAUGUGGAGGAACACCAGUGGCGAAGGCGGCUUUCUGGUCUGUAACUGACGCUGAGGCGCGAAAGCGUGGGGAGCAAACAGGGAUUAGAUACCCUGGUAGUCCACGCCGUAAACGAUGAGUGCUAAGUGUUAGGGGGGUUUCCGCCCCCCUUAGUGCUGCAGCUAACGCAUUAAGCACUCCGCCUGGGGUAGUACGGCCGCAAGGCUG
rnacentral:rRNA from 1 species